rnacentral:rRNA from 1 species
CCUACGGGGGGCUGCAGUGGGGAAUAUUGGACAAUGGGGGCAACCCUGAUCCAGCCAUGCCGCGUGUGUGAAGAAGGCCCUCGGGUUGUAAAGCACUUUCAGUGAGGAAGAACGCCUGGUGGUUAAUACCCAUCAGGAAAGACAUCACUCACAGAAGAAGCACCGGCUAACUCCGUGCCAGCAGCCGCGGUAAUACGGAGGGUGCGAGCGUUAAUCGGAAUUACUGGGCGUAAAGCGCGCGUAGGUGGCUUGAUAAGCCGGUUGUGAAAGCCCCGGGCUCAACCUGGGAACGGCAUCCGGAACUGUCCAGCUAGAGUGCAGGAGAGGAAGGUAGAAUUCCCGGUGUAGCGGUGAAAUGCGUAGAGAUCGGGAGGAAUACCAGUGGCGAAGGCGGCCUUCUGGACUGACACUGACACUGAGGUGCGAAAGCGUGGGUAGCAAACAGGAUUAGAUACCCGUGUAGUC